AGAUUCUAAAACUGCAUCCUUCCCAGAGUGGGUAGUCAACUCCUCAUGAUGAAUUAGUUAUAUGUUCCUAUAUGUACCUACUUCCAGCUUUUAUUUUCCUUUCCUGUUCCUUACGAAGUCAAAGAAGGGGUCGUCACCCAACAAAUAGCCCAUAAGAUUGUUUUACUCGAUGACAAAACUUUGAAGGACUGCUAGAAAAGAAUAAAUGUUUAUUUAUUUAUU
rnacentral:lncRNA from 1 species